rnacentral:rRNA from 1 species
CAAUAGCGUAUAUUAAAGUUGUUGCGGUAAAAAAGCUCGUAGUUGGAUUUCUGUUGAGAGCGACCGGUCCAUACCAUGUAUGCGUAUCUGGCUUGCUCUCGGCAUCCUCUCGAUAGACGUUACUGCGCUUGAUUGCGUGGUGCGGAUCUCGGGACUUUUACUUUGAGGAAAUUAGAGUGUUCACGGCAGGCUUUCGCCAGAAUACAUUAGCAUGGAAUAAUACUAUAGGAUCUUGGUUCUAUUUUGUUGGUUUCUAGAAUUGAGAUAAUGAUUAAUAGGGACAAUUGGGGGCAUUCGUAUCAACACGUCAGAGGUGGAAUUCUUGGAUUGUGUUGCGACGAACUACUGCGAAAGCAUUUGCCAAGGAUGGUUUCAUUGA